rnacentral:rRNA from 1 species
GACGAACGCUGGCGGCGUGCUUAACACAUGCAAGUCGAACGAUGAAGCUGGAGCUUGCUCUAGCGGAUUAGUGGCGAACGGGUGAGUUACACGUGAGCAAUCUGCCCUUGACUCUGGGAUAACUGCGGGAAACUGUAGCUAAUACCGGAUACUUUCACCGGGGGGCAUCCUCUGGUGAUGAAAGAAUUUCGGUCAAGGAUGAGCUCGCGGCCUAUCAGCUUGUUGGUGAGGUAACGGCUCACCAAGGCGACGACGGGUAACCGGCCUGAGAGGGUGUCCGGUCACACUGGGACUGAGACACGGCCCAGACUCCUACGGGAGGCAGCAGUGGGGAAUAUUGCACAAUGGGCGCAAGCCUGAUGCAGCAACGCCGCGUGAGGGAUGAAGGCCUUCGGGUUGUAAACCUCUUUUAGCAGGGAAGAAGCGAAAGUGACGGUACCUGCAGAAAAAGCACCGGCUAACUACGUGCCAGCCGCCGCCGUAA